UACGUAGGGUGCGAGCGUUGUCCGGAAUUAUUGGGCGUAAAGAGCUUGUAGGCGGUCUGUCGCGUCUGCUCUGAAAGCCCGGGGCUCAACCCUGGGAGGCGGGUGGAUACUGUCGAGCUCGAGUCCGGAAGAGGCGAGUGGAAUUCCUGGUGUAGCGGUGAAAUGCGCAGAUAUCAGGAGGAACACCAAUGGCGAAGGCGACUACCUGGCCUGUUCUUGACGCUGAGGCGCGAAAGCUAGGGGAGCAAACGGG
rnacentral:rRNA from 1 species